rnacentral:rRNA from 1 species
GACGAACGCUGGCGGCGUGCCUAAUACAUGCAAGUUGAGCGCUAAAGGUUGGUACUUUUCCUAACUGCUUGAGCAGCGCACGGGGGAGUAACGUGUGGGGAAUCUGCCUUGGAGCGGGGGACAACCUUCGGAAACGAAUGCUAAUACCGCAUAAACACUUUAAACACAAGUAUUAAGUUUGAAAGAUGCAUUUGCAUCACUCAAGCACGAUUGCGCGUUGUAUUAGCUAGGUGGUGGGGUAAAGGCUCACCAAGGGGAAGAUACAUAGCCGACCUGGGAGGGUGGACGGCCACAAUGGGACUGGGACACGGCCCAAACUCCUUCGGGAGGGAGCAGGAGGGAAACAUCGGAAAUGGGGGGAAGGCUGGACGAGGAACGCCGCGGGAGAGAAGGAGGGUGUCGGGUCGGAAAAGUCUGUUGGUAGGGAAGAACGUGGGUGAGGGUGGAAAGCUCAUCAAGUGACGGUAACUGCACAAGAAGGAACGGCUAACUACGUG